rnacentral:tRNA from 1 species
GGGCCCAUAGCUCAGCCUGCUUAGAGCACCUGUCUAAUUAUCAGGGGGUCAGGGGUUGAAAUCCCCUUGGGCCCA